GAUGAACGCUAGCGGCAGGCUUAACACAUGCAAGUCGAGGGGUAUGCUUCUUCGGAAGCAGAGACCGGCGCACGGGUGCGUAACGCGUAUGCAAUCUACCUUUUACAGAGGGAUAGCCCAGAGAAAUUUGGAUUAAUACCUCAUAGUAUUAUAGAAUGGCAUCAUUUUAUAAUUAAAGUCACAACGGUAAAAGAUGAGCAUGCGUCCCAUUAGCUAGUUGGAAGGUAACGGCUUACCAAGGCUACGAUGGGUAGGGGUCCUGAGAGGGAGAUCCCCCACACUGGUACUGAGACACGGACCAGACUCCUACGGGAGGCAGCAGUGAGGAAUAUUGGACAAUGGGCGCAAGCCUGAUCCAGCCAUGCCGCGUGGGU
rnacentral:rRNA from 1 species